AAGAACUUAAGUUAAAAAAACUAAAAGCCUUCAAAGCUUUAAAUGGGUAACCCCAGUUUUUGCC
rnacentral:tRNA from 1 species